rnacentral:rRNA from 2 species
CGACCCCAGGAUGGGCGAGGCCACCCGCCGAGUUUAA